rnacentral:rRNA from 1 species
GGCACCACCAGGAGUGGAAUCUGCGGCUUAAUUUGACCCAACGCGGGAAAACUCACCAGGUCAGGACACGGUAAGGAUUGACGGACUGAAGGCUCUUUCUCGAUUCCGUGGAAAGUGGUGCAUGGCCGUUUUUGGUUGGUGGAUCGAUCCGUCUGGUUAAUUCCGUUAACGAACGAGACCUCGGCACUCCGAAUAGCGCGGCGGACGUCGCGGCCUCCGGGCCGUCUUCCGCACGAGCUUCUUAGAGGGACCGUCCCCCGCCGGGGAAGGAGGUGCGAGGCAACGACAGGUCUGUGAUGCCCUUAGAUGUUCUGGGCCGCACGCGCAUUACACUGACGCGUCCAACGGGUGACUCCCGACCCGAAGGGGCCGGGGAAUCCGCAAGGCGCGUCGUGAUGGGGAUUGAACGUUGCAAUUGUUGUUCACGAACGAGGAAUUCCUAGUAGGCGCGGGUCAUCAACCCGCGCCGAUUACGUCCCUGCCCUUUGUAC